rnacentral:lncRNA from 1 species
ACUUUUAUACCAAUCAUCUAGUAUUUGCAGAAGUAUUGAGACUCAUAAACUUUUAAAUUUAUAAUUAUAGUGCAAAUCCUGUUGUCUUACAAUGAAGAUGACACAUUGAGAGUUUAUAAAGGGAAUCAUGGAGCUCAGAAUUUUUCAUAUUUUUUUUAAAUCCCAGAGGAGCAAUUUAUAAACACUUUAUAUUUACUCUGUUCUCAGAACAGUUGCCUGUUUUAUCAUUUGAAUUACACAUUUAAAAAAAAUGACACAUUGGGUAUUCAGUUGGCUUUCUGAGACUUUUAAUGAGGCUAAUAAUUCAAAGCUUUUUCUUUUUUUUUAAAAAAAAUCAGCAUUCAUGAAGAUUUUGUACUACCUCUUGGAAUACAUACAAAAUUUUGUAUGUGUUCCCUUAUUGCAUGACAAUAUUCAAGACAACUUUGUAAAUAAUAGUCAAGUUCAAAAUUUUAACAUCUAGUCUUUCUAGAUGUAUAGAGUGUCACAGGGUAUAAUUUUGUAAAUAUAUCAGUAUAAGCUUUCAUGCUUUUUAAUUUUUUUGAGUGUGAUUUUUUUUUAAAAAUUGAUCUUGUUUGUUACUUGUUAAUAAAUAACAGAGAGGAAUGAGAAAAAGUAUUUUAAGUUCACCUUUGGCUACUCAUCUCCUGGAAAAAUUUCAUUAACCUUAGUGAAAGGCUUUUGUAACACUCAAAACUGUUUAUAAUGGCAUAAAUUAUAGUCAUGUGGUUGUAGUAAUGAAAGGACAUUAUCUAAACAUUUCCAUUUAGGCAUUAUAGGAAAUAUCUCUUGCAAGAGUUUGUCUACCUUUGUGAUUGAGUUAAUACACUGUUAUAUUUAUGGUGCAUGACAGCACUCAAGACAUACUGUAAAUAUAUACAUAUAUUUAUGCCAGUUUGAAAUAUCCAUUUUUACAGAUGCAUUCUUAACACAAUAUAAGCCUGUAAAUCUUUCAUUGUGACCUAACAUUAAUUAAAUUAAACCAGUAAAUUCUUUUAUGAUGGAAUAAAUACUAUUAAAGUGUUAAGUAUAAAACUGUUUUAAGUGUUUAUAUAUAUCUUUAAGCAAUUUUAAAAUUUUGUAUAUUUUCAUCUAGUAUUAAUAAAGGUAAAUAUCUAGUGUACUGUAUGAAAAAACAGCCUGUAUCACGUUAAAAGCAAUCAAGAGAAAUUAAAAUCAGAGUUAGGAUUAAUGAGUAGCAUUUAUCCCAGCACCUUUCAAGAUUAUACACAGCUCCAUACUCAGUUUGAGGACAGCUUGGGCUCAUUAGGCCUUUUGUCAAAAGAAAGUGUGAAAACAAAGAAAAACUGAACACCUCCCUUCAAAACAAAAGGAAUUUAAGAUAGCCAAAUACCAGAUCUACGAAAGAGCAUUACAGCUUAAGUAAUAAUUGAAGAUUUGUGAAAAUCAAUUAAACUAUACAUGCUUGGAAAUGGCCACAUGAGACCAUAUUGAAUGAACAAUUUAUUCCAACAGAAAACAUGUUCAGGAAGAAUGUUAAAAUUUUAACACUUGUAAAUAGGAAGAAGAUGACAUUUGCCAGUCUUUGUACUUUAUGAGGGUAUUCGCAAAUAAGCAUCAAAACAAGAAGAAAAUAUUAAAAGGACAUUUUGUGCCAGUACAUCAUGGUUGUGCUGGAUUACCUACCCAACUCUGUAUAAUGGUUUUUCAAACAAUUUGUGAAGAAUGUUAGAAUCUUCAGAGUCUUCUGCAUCAGCAAAGAGUAGUGAAACUAAUGGAAAAGAUAAAAUUUUUGGUGCUCAUGAUGACUUAAUUUAAUAGUCAGAACGUGAGAACAGCUGAGAAUUUACAUUCCUGAAAACUAGAGGCGGUUGCCGAAUCGGAUAGCCGUUGGUUCUACAGCCACUAUAAUGAUCUGAAAAGCUGAAUGAGUUGCAUGAACACUGUCAGGAAUCAUAAUAGAACUCAGCUAAUUGGAUAGAGAAGGGAAUGUUGAUUUGAAGACAAUUACUAUAUAAAGAUUUUCUCAUUGCUGCUGUGCUGUUGCAUUAACUCAAGAAGUGGAGACACUUCUACAUGGAUAAGAAUUGUGUGAUUGAAUUGAUUGUGGAAUCAUCUCAGUGUUUUCAUAAAAUAUUCACUGUAUGUAGUCAAUUUUUUCCUCAGAGUUGAUGCUUACAAAUACUUGUCAAGUUGGAAAAAUUCACUUUUACUUUUAUUUGCAUCACACUUAAUAGAUUAGAAACUAGAUUGCUUUUAAUUGAGUCUUCAUUUACAACCUCAAGGAAUAUUCUGGGAUUACAGUCAAAUAUUACAGCACCAGAUUUAUUUGGUUUUGGCAUUCAAAUUCAGAGAUUCCCUCAGGCUGGAAAACUGCUAUAUCAACUGAACUACUAUAUCUCUAGCUAAAGUACAUUCUGGGCAUAAAUGUGGUUUUUCUCUGAUCCAGGAGUAGUGUUGUCCAACUCUACUCCUAUCUACUUAAAAGAUAGCACAGGAGGCCUGCACAUUUGAGGUCACCUUGACAACACUGAAACCUCUUCUUCCCAUCUCAACAAUAAAAAGGUGGUGAACAUCUUCACAUACACAUCAAAUAUGCCUUUCUGAAGGUUUCAUCUACAGCAUCUCCCAAAUACCAUUAUAUAUUUAUUGUUUCUGGAGUAUUAUUUUACCUUUAUUAUCUCACAACUCAUAUAGAAGAUUUCCAAGGAAUAGAAAUGACCGGCUCGUGGCAAGUAAUUGCCUGAAAUGUUCAAUACUUCUGUUUUCAGUAUAUCUUGGACUCUCAUAUUGUUUGUUGCAUAUUAUCUCAUUCAUAUUUUAUUUUGCAAAUGGAAGAAACUUUUCUAAGUGGGUUGCAUAGCUAAUGUACAUAAAUAUUUUUAUGAUACUUCAGAUUAUAACAAAAUUUUCUGAGUAAUUGAACCUCCCUCUAUACCAGUUUUGUUAUCAUUUGUGAGAUAUCUUCCUCCUUUGAAUAAGAAACUCAGAUUUUAGGUGGGCCUGAAAGAAGAUUGUUUGGCACAGUGGUGUUCUUUAGAGAAGAUGCUCUGGUGCUAUUUUUGCAGAUAUUACAGUCUCUCUCUAGGACAGCAAUAUGAGUAUGAUUUGCUUUUUCUCUAAUAUAACUACUGGAGACUUUGAAGCACUUGUAACUGAGUGGGUUGAGAAAUGUUGUCCUUGCAUUGAUAAGGAGAGCCAUAGUGAUGCUAUGUUGUAGAAUGUGUGGCAUCCUAUUUUUAUCGAUAUCACUUUUCAGGUUUCAGUAAAAUCUCAGUGUUUCAAAGUGAUUUUAGUUUUCUGUGUAAUGUGGGUUUUUUUCUUUGUUUUUCUCCUUAAACUAAGUAAAGUAAUGUAAAGUAGUGCUUAUUUUCAAUAUUAGUUGUGUGUUUCUAGACAAUAAGUCACCAGUUCAUUUGAAAAUGACUAUCUGCAUUUCUCAACCUGUUUUAAUAAUUGUAAGAGUGAAAAUAAUUGGUAAGAAUUUGAGUGUUUGGAUACAUAUGUCUGCAUGUGUGUAUGCGCAUGUCAGGUGUCUGUAGAAAUCAGAAAUAAAAGUCAGGAUUAUAUAAUAAUUAUAUUUUGAAUGUUUGAAUUGUUUCCUAAUACAUUACUUAAUAGUUGUCAGUAAGAAGGCUCAAUGGAAAAAGUCACCUGGGAACUCCAAUUGGAUCACUGGAACCCAGGUUAUAUGUAAGACAGAAUAUAGCUGAGAACAGGACACUUCUCAGAUUAUUUUUAAUCUCAUAAGUUUGUAGUACAAUCCGUAUCCCCCUUACUCAUUAUAUUAUUAUUAUAUUUUAGCGAUAUCCUGAGGUGCAUACUGAAUUCUUUUUUAAUACUCAUUUUUUAUAUGCAGUAUUGUUUUCUUCUUUUAAUUGUAAGGUUAAAUUAGUGUAUUUCAAUUAGUCUCUCAUGUUUACAUUUUCUUAGGUCAGAUUGCUUAUGACUCUAAUCAGAUACUGUUACAACUUCUCAGUAUGUGUUAAGGGCCACAAAACUUUGUAAAACUCUAGAUUUACAGACCAUAUUUUUGAAACUAGGAAUCUGUUCUAGUAGUACAAGAACAAUUAAGGCUAAUUAUUAAACUAUUCCCCCAUAAAUAGUUGCAAUACACAAAUCUUGGGCUAUAUUUGGAUUUUCACAGAUAGUUGUCUAACCUGUAGUCAGGUGUAUAGGUCUCGUUUCAUCAGACAAUCUUUGGUAGAUUUAGGAUUAGAAGGUACAGAAAGGAUAUCUAUUCUUGUACAAGUUUUUGAAUAUUCUACAUGAGUGUUUCUCAACCUAUGGGUCCCAACCCCUUUCUGGGUCAAAUACACCUUUCAUUGGGGUCACUUAAGACCAUUGGAAAGCACAGAUAUUUUACAUUACAAUUCAUAACAGUAGCAAAAUUAUAGUUAUGAAGUAGCAUUAAAAAUAAUUUGAUGGUAGGAGGUCCCUAUUAUAUGAAGAGAUGUAUUAAAGGACUGUCAUAUUAACCAUUUUAAAGUUAGAUGUUUUAGUUCAUUAUUAUAUCAACAUAUACUGUGAUGAAAGAAUUCUGUGGUCAUUCUUUGGUAGUCUGCUAUUCCAGUUCCAUACCUGCUUAUGAUAAGAGAUAAACUUUCAUGAUGUAUAUACUAGUCAGUAACUUUCUUAAGUUUAUAUAAAUGUACAUGGAAAUUUUAGAUGUAAGAUCUUUGUAUUAAUGAUUUUUCCAUUUAAUAUAUCAUAGUGGCUUAUGGAGUUUACAAAAAUAUGUUUUCUGCGGCUUGUGGGGCUGUUGAUGAUGUAUAUAAUUAUAUAACUAUGAUAAUAUUUUUGCAUUCCUGCUUAUAUAAUAGUUUUCCAGGUAUAGUAAUAUUAGAUCAUCAUCUGUAUAUGUCUUUGGUUUCUGUCAAUAUUGUAAAGUUACCCGCACAUGUUUUCUGGGUUAAGCCAGAGCAGUGAUAUAUUAUAGUGCUAAUUUUCAUAGUUUUGUCUUUACUAAGUUUCAAUGGCUUUGUAAAUAACAGCCAAUCUAAUAGGUGAAAUAAUAUUUUUAAAGCCUAAAUUAAGACUAAUUUAAAUGCUUAAUGGCCAUAAUUUUAUAAAACUAAAUAGAUUUUUAGUUGUAGAAGCAAAGUAAAGUUUCCAAAUUUUGCUAAGUUUACAUACUGAUACAGCAAAGGUUACAUAGAGAUACCUUGUCUCAAUAUUAGCAUAUUUUUCAUAAAUUGCUUGAGUAUACACUAUGGUAACAAGUUUUUAUUUAUAUUUAAUUUUGAUGUAAUUAUAGAACCACAUACUUUUUUAUAUAAUCUGACUUACUCUCUGCAUUCCUUUCAAUUAUUAUUUCCAUUACUCUUUCCCUCCCUAUUCUUCUCAUCUUAUAUUUGUUUAUACAUGCCAAUUUGUUUUCUGAACUGUGUUUUCAUUUAAGAUAUGCUGUUCACAUUGGCCAAAAUUUUUCUGUAGGUUUUUUAUAAAAUUGUGUUUAUGUUCCUUUAAUCUUGGUUUGAAAUAUAAGAACUGUUGAUUUUCUUGUUCAACUCUAAUAUUAACUAUAUUAUAAUUAUUAUAUAGUUAUCCUCUAGAUUUCUGUUUCUUUUCUAAUGAAAGAAAGAAAGGGGUUGGUUCCAUUUAAGAAAAGAAGUGGAGAUGAAACAUAAUUAGAGGGAGGAGAAAUAUAAUUAUAAUAUAUUUUAUGAGACAAUAUCUAUAAAAGAAAGCAGAAUAAAAUUUAAGAAUAUCAGAUGCAUUAUUACUAGUUUAAAUGUAUGCCCUAUGUAUUAUUCAUAUUUACAUUUCAUUAGUUGGUUUAGUCUUGUUCCAUUCUGUGGGAUGAAGCAGUAUUUGCAAAAGCUAUGUUGCUUUCAUAUUAUUUAAUCAGAAUCAAUUCUGUAGACUAUUUUGGUUAUUCAUAACAUUGAAUUUCUUGCAAAUAACAUUUAGGCUUCAAGAGCCCUCAGCUUCUAAUUUUUUUCCUUGUAAAAGGAUUGAGGACAUAUAUUUGUCAUAGAAAACUUCAGAAUAAAUGUGUGUUAUCUUCAAUAAAUCAUGUCAAGUUUAAAUGCUUAUUAUCCCAAAAUGGAUUAUCAUUAGUUUAAUUCAAUGUGACAACUUUCUCCAAUGUUGAAGUUAUUUCUAAAUAAACAUUACAUACAAUG